rnacentral:ribozyme from 1 species
GGGAAGAAGGAGGUGACAAGGGGGUCGUGUCCUAUCCCUCUAUCCCUCAAGGAACUUUUUUGGAAAAUUUGGGGGUGGAUGCCAGGGUUGUAACUUUGUUGAGAGAGAUGGACGGGGGAGAGGAGGCAGAGAAGGAGGCA